rnacentral:misc_RNA from 1 species
CGUCAUUACACCACUCAAGCCUGGCUUGGUAUUGGGCGCCGCGGCUUAACCGCCGCGCGCCCUAAUGUCUUCGGCUGAGCCGUCCGUCUCUAAGCGUUGUGGUCAUUCAGUUCGCUUGCGAGUCCGGAUCGGUUUGUCGCCGUUAAACACCCCCAUCAAAGGUUGACCUCGGAUCAGGUAGGGAUACCCGCUGAACUUAA